rnacentral:rRNA from 1 species
GACGAACGCUGGCGGCGUGCUUAACACAUGCAAGUCGAACGGAAAGGCCCUGCUUUUGUGGGGUGCUCGAGUGGCGAACGGGUGAGUAACACGUGAGUAACCUGCCCUUGACUUUGGGAUAACUUCAGGAAACUGGGGCUAAUACCGGAUAGGAGCUCCUGCUGCAUGGUGGGGGUUGGAAAGUUUCGGCGGUUGGGGAUGGACUCGCGGCUUAUCAGCUUGUUGGUGGGGUAGUGGCUUACCAAGGCUUUGACGGGUAGCCGGCCUGAGAGGGUGACCGGCGAAAUUGGGACUGAGAUACGGCACAGAAUCCUACGGGAGGCAGCAGUGGGGAAUAUUGCAAAAUGGGCGGAAGCCUGAUGCAGAAAAGCCGCGUGCGGGAUGACGGCCUUCGGGUUGUAAACCGCUUUCGCCUGUGACGAAGCGUGAGUGACGGUAAUGGGUAAAGAAGCACCGGCUAACUACGUG